GGAAGAGAUGCUAUCUUGGAAAACACACUGUGGUCAGAUUGCUUACUAAAGAGAUCAAAGAUGGGAGAGGAAAGAGUUCAUACAACAGGUACAAAGGGUAAAGGUCAAGGUUCCCAUGCACAUAUAUCCUAGAUGUGCUGGACUCUGGGGUCAGCUCAUCCCCAUUUGUGAGCCAAAGAGCCAGCGUUGUCCGAAGAUGCUUCAGUGGUCAUGUGGCCGGCGGGACGAAAUGCUGGGGUGCAUGGAAUGCUGUUACCUCCCCACCAAAGUGCCAACGGCCGUGCUUAGAGAAUUACCUUGGCCAGCAGAAGCAACUUCCACCAGCCACCACUAUCAAGGCCUGUUUCAUCAUCAGCAUCUUGACAAUCAUGCAAAAGUGAUGGGAGCUUCACUUGCAAGCCAACCAUGUUUGCAGCAAAGCCUCAUCCUGAAAGCAAAUUCACAAAGCAUUCCUCGAAUCAGUGCGCACAUUUCUGCAGGCCAAACAUCUGAAGAAAGCCACAUUCUGCCAUGGGUAUUUUCCCAAACAGGUUUUGCACAAUGCAAACUUUCACCCGGAGCAACCAGCCAGCCAGGGGAUUUUACCCUGGGAUCACUGCUGGCAUUACCCUUGCUAUCACCACCAUCAAAAGCUUGACCCUAUUGGGAAGAAAAGGCAUGCAACCACGAAAGGAAAACAUACACACACAGUUCCUGAUUUGGAUAAACUGCUUGGAGCCAAAGUUGUUCCUUAGGAAACCUAUAAAAAAGUGGUAACAUCUGUGCUCCCGCUGGGAUUUGAUGUCUCAUCAAAACUCUCUCUACCAGUAACUUUGCCUUUGAUAUGAGACACAAAGAAGAAAAUACCUGAUCUUCAGCCACAGCUCAUGGUUCCUCCCUGGGUCUCUGUAUCCUGACCUACUGAACAUUCCUUACAGCCAAAAGCGGCUUGCCGUGACUACCUCCUUCAUGUAAGUCUGUUUACUAAUCUCUUAGCAAACACUUACACCAACCUGAAGGGAGCUGCAAAAAGAAGGUCAAAAAAGGACCACAGAGUCAAAACACCUCUGGAAGGUCAGCCCUAAAGAGGUGACAACACAACAGAAUCAGAUCCUGAAUUCUCUGCUCAUCAAGCAAUCCCUUCAUGUCAGGAAGUGCCCCUCUAUCAAGCUCUGCCUCCCCAGUGACGAUUUUAAAAUAUAUUAUGGCCACCCGGUUUCUUUUCUCUCCCUAUUAACCUGCCAUCAUUCAGAUCCAUUCUUUCUGGCUGCUGAGACUCGUGUGACAGCACUUACAGGUAUUUGCAAAGCGACUCCUUUUAUCACAGCAGUACCAUUGGGAUAUGUCAUUUGAAAAGUCCAGCCAGCCAGCCCCAUCUGCUCUCAGGAGUAACCUUUCCUUAGGAGCUUAUAAGAAAAUCCACUGUUGCAAUAAAUAACGACUCUCAACAAAUGAUCAAAGAAAAAAUAAAUCAGGGUGCUUUAAAAAAAAAAAGAAAAUGAAAUCCCAUCUUUUCCCUCCUCCCUCCCUCCUGUCUUUUUAAAAUGGAUAACAGUGAAGGAGGUUCUAGUAGCCAUUCUGCUUAUCCAGGAAGCUGAGUUUUCAGCAUUGGUUGUAUGGCAAUUGGUCAGACCAAAAUGGAUCUGCCAUCCUCAGAAGCGGAAGCUUUCAAACUAAAGUUUGUAAUAUAGAAGAACAUAUUGUUUGGAAUUUAACUUCUAAUAUCUAGGAAUAAACAGAGCAUUAAAUCAAGCAAAACUGGGACAAGGCCAAUAUGCACAUGGAUGAUGCCAGUGAGGCAUCUCCAGCCUCUUUGUUCACAGCUUAACAAAACUGUGCCGUCACACCACUUUAGCUCAACAGUGCCUGUCGAAUGGGCAUCAGCAGAUCAGCCAAUGCCUGUCACAUGUAGGGCUGAAAAACUGUUUGAAAGCAAGGCUUUACUGUAGCAGAAGUCUGGUUAGGGAAAGUGAGAAGAAGGAUUUUUUAAUCAUCUUGCGAAGGCCAGAAGAAAGAAAACAACAAAAAUGUGGUGAAUACAUGCACAUACACACAUGUGCACACACACCUCUCACAGAAACAUAUACGUACGUGUGUGUGUGUGUGUAUGCUACUUUUCUGCCUUGUGAAAAAAGUCAACAGCAAUGUUCUUAUAUGCUAUUUUCAGUACUUUAAACCAAGCAAAAGAAAUUGUAACUCACAGCUCAUAUGCUGGAAUUCUUACUUGGAAUUAAGUCCCCACUAAAAUCAAAGUGAUACUUCUUAGGAAACAUGGUUAGGAUUGUAUUAUGACCAGACUGUCUUUAAAAUAGCAAGGUUUUGUUCCAGGCAAAUGUAUUUGGGUUUGAAGUGUGAAGCCUAUGCAAGUAUGUGUCUUAUAUGUACUUGGAAACAGAUUGCGAUGAAUGCAACAGAACUUUUCCCAAUCCUUUUGCCUUAUGUUUGUUUGUUUUUUCAUUGGUUAUUUUAAAGAACUCUAGUUUUUAAAGGGAAAAUAUUAUAAAAUAGGAAUUAAAUGUGUGUCAUUGUCAAGUCAUCAAGCUCUAGGCCCCCUUUUUCACUGAAAAGGGAUCAAUGAAGUGAUGCAUGGGCCCCAGUUCUCUUGAAAUUGUGGCAGAAAAAUAUGUCUGCACCCAUAUUCUAUGCUGCAAUCCUGACUGUAAUGCCCACUGCCAGUCUUACUUCUGAUUAAAGUGCAUGAGGUUGCACUGUUAAACAAGACAAAACAGGUAUCCAAUAAUAUGUGGACACCAGUUUCAUUUUUACAUGUAGACAGAUAGACCCAGUAGAGCUGUUUAUAUAA